rnacentral:rRNA from 1 species
GACGAACGCUGGCGGCGUGCUUAACACAUGCAAGUCGAACGGAAAGGCCCUGCUUUUGUGGGGUGCUCGAGUGGCGAACGGGUGAGUAACACGUGAGUAACCUGCCCUUGAUUUUGGGAUAACUUCAGGAAACUGGGGCUAAUACCGGAUAGGAGCUCCUGCUGCAUGGUGGGGGUUGGAAAGUUUCGGCGGUUGGGGAUGGACUCGCGGCUUAUCAGCUUGUUGGUGGGGUAGUGGCUUACCAAGGCUUUGACGGGUAGCCGGCCUGAGAGGGUGACCGGCCACAUUGGGACUGAGAUACGGCCCAGACUCCUACGGGAGGCAGCAGUGGGGAAUAUUGCACAAUGGGCGGAAGCCUGAUGCAGCAACGCCGCGUGCGGGAUGACGGCCUUCGGGUUGUAAACCGCUUUCGCCUGUGACGAAGCGUGAGUGACGGUAAUGGGUAAAGAAGCACCGGCUAACUACGU